rnacentral:rRNA from 1 species
AUGAUUAGGUUGUUAAGGACGUCCGACAAUGGGUGGUACAUUACUGAGCAUAGAGUUAAGCACAACCAUGUGUUGACUCCAAAUUGUGGGGAGAUGUUGCACUGGCCUUCUCACAAACACAUAGACGUGUACACUAGGGACCUGGUUCGGAACCUAAGGAAGAACAACAUCAACCUAAGCAAGGUGUACAGCAUAAUCGGGGGGUUCUUUGGCACGGUCGAGAAUGUUCCAUUCACGAAGAGAUCUCUGAGGCACCUGUGUGGCCAGAUAAGCCAGGAGGAAGCUGACGAUGAUGUUCAGAAAACAAUUGAGGUGUUUGAUGAGUUAGGGUCAAAAGAUCCGGAGUUCUUAUUUAGGGUACAAGCGGAUGAACAGAGCAAAAUAAGGAAUCUAAUUUGGGCAAGUGGGGAUAGUCGGUUGAAGUACAAAUUUUUUGGGGAUGUCGUGACGUUCGACACAACUUACAGGACUAACCUGUACGAUAUGCCAUUCGGUCUAUUCAUUGGGGUGAACAACCACUACUAGAGCAUACUCCUUGGAGGGGUGUUGUUGAGGGGUGAACAGGUUGAGAGCUUUGAGUGGGUGUUCACAGAGUUUGUGAGGAUGAUGGGCGGUGUGGCACCCCGAACCAUACUUACAGAUCAGUGCCGGGCUAUGGAGGUGGCUAUUAAGAUUGUACUUCCGAACACAGUGCAUCGGUGGUGUAAGUGGCAUGUGUUGAAGAAAGCCAAGGAAAGUUUGGGCGCAAUGUUUGCGCAAAGAAAUGAGUUUAGGCAGGAAUUUCAUAAAGUGGUAGACCACAUGCUGAUGGUAGAGGAGUUCGAGGAGGCUUGGACACAACUGGUGGAGAAGCACAACCUGAAAACACACCAGUAUAUGACAAAUCUGUAUGAGAUCAGAGAAAAAUGGGCAAAGCCGUACUUCAAGGGUGUUUUCUGCGCCAAGAUGACGAGCACACAGCGGAGUGAGAGUGCGAACCAUAUGCUGAAGAGCUAUGUGCCUUCGGGUUCCCUGAUGCACAAGUUCGUGAGGCAGUACAUGAGGUUGCAGUUUGACCGUGCAUCGGACGAAAGUUACGAGGAAAAGCGAACGAAGCUGGGCGGUGUGGUGUUGCGAACGAACUCUUCAAUAGAGAUAGAUGCAAGUAAGAUCUACACGCGGGCAAUGUUCGAGCAAUUCGGGCAAAUCCUGUACGAGGCUGGAGGCUAUCGAGUAGAAGAGGUCGAGAAGCACUCUCUGUACAAGGCGAUGCACACCAGGCCAGAGAAGCGAGAGAAGUGGAGCAGAGUAGUUUUCAUGGUCAAAAUGCUAAGCGGUGGUGAGGAGUUCGAGUGCGAAUGUGGAUUGUUCGAGCACAUGGGCAUGCUGUGCUGCCAUGUUUUGAAGGUAAUAAGGGAAAACUGA